rnacentral:rRNA from 1 species
UACGUAGGUGACAAGCGUUGUCCGGAUUUACUGGGCGUAAAGAGCGCGCAGGCGGUCGUUCAAGUCGAGUGUGAAAGCCCCCGGCUCAACUGGGGAGGGUCAUUCGAUACUGAUCGACUCGAAGGCAGGAGAGGGUAGUGGAAUUCCCGGUGUAGUGGUGAAAUGCGUAGAUAUCGGGAGGAACACCAGUGGCGAAGGCGGCCACCUGGACGGUAACUGACGCUGAGACGCGAAAGCGUGGGGAGCAAACAGG